AAGCUCGUAGUUGAAUUUCGGGAUCAAAUUGUUGGUCGUGCUUCGGUACGCACUGGCAUUAUUGGUUCCUACCUUCUGAAGAACCGCGAUGUCAUUAAUUUGGUGUCGUGGGGAAUCAGGACUGUUACUUUGAAAAAAUUAGAGUGCUUAAAGCAGGCGCACGCUUGAAUACAUUAGCAUGGAAUAAUGAAAUAGGACGUUUGAUUCUAUUUUGUUGGUUUCUAGGAUCGACGUAAUGAUUAAUAGGGAUAGUUGGGGGCAUUAGUAUUCAAUUGUCAGAGGUGAAAUUCUUGGAUUUAUUGAAGACUAACUACUGCGAAAGCAUUUGCCAAGGAUGUUUUCAUUAAUCAAGAACGAAAGUUAGGGGAUCGAAGACGAUCAGAUACCGUCGUAGUCUUAACCAUAAACUAUGCCGACUAGGGAUCGGAUGAUGUUAAUUUUUUAAUGACUCAUUCGGCGCCUUACGGGAAACCAAAGUGUUUGGGUUCCGGGGGGAGUAUGGUCGCAAGGCUGAAACUUAAAGGAAUUGACGGAAGGGCACCACCAGGGGUGGAGCCUGCGGCUUAAUUUGACUCAACACGGGGAAACUCACCAGGUCCAGACAUAGUAAGGAUUGACAGACUGAGAGCUCUUUCUUGAUUCUAUGGGUG
rnacentral:rRNA from 1 species